UCCUACCUACGGGGGGCAGCAGUGAGGAAUAUUGGUCAAUGGUCGGGAGACUGAACCAGCCAAGCCGCGUGAGGGAGGAAGGUACAGAGUAUCGUAAACCUCUUUUGUCAGGGAACAAAGGCGGGGACGUGUCCCCGGAUGAGUGUACCUGAAGAAAAAGCAUCGGCUAACUCCGUGCCAGCAGCCGCGGUAAUACGGAGGAUGCGAGCGUUAUCCGGAUUUACUGGGUGUAAAGGGAGCGUAGGCGGCGAUGCAAGUCAGAAGUGAAAGCCCGGGGCUCAACUCCGGGACUGCUUUUGAAACUG
rnacentral:rRNA from 1 species